GAAAAUCAUAUUAAAACAGUCUUGCAGUUAUGAAUAUGAGACAUGUAAUAGUUACCCUCCAAAUUCAAGCCAUGGGUGCAAAAAUACUGAAGACAUUCUCGACAUUGUAACAUUGCAUUGUACAAUAUUUGGAUGAAAAGCUUUCAGUCCAAUUAUGAUGCUCUUAUGGAAUGAGUUCCUUUGCCAUU